ensembl:lncRNA
CAUACUAUAUUUAUUUUUCAUAGCAAAGUGUUUUGGGUAAGAGAUUUAAGAAUGAAGUCUCUUUAUGGCCAUGUCCCUUAAGUACCCUAAUUUGAUUGUAAUUAGAAAUCAUUAUGCUCAUCUGCGGUUUGCUGGUAAGAUUCAUAAUUUGCAAUCACUCGUAAAUGGCCUGUUUUUCUUUUUGGCCAUGUGUCUGUGCUUGUGUUGUGAUAAAGUCAGUGUAGUGUGAUCAUUUGUUAUAAAGGGAACGGAAGCACUGUAGAGCCCAAUAAAAAAAACAAGGGAUCAAUAGAUUCUCCCCGCAAGAGUGAAACAUAACAGAAGCAACUAAAGCCUUUUAUGAGAGAAACAAUACAUUAUUCAUGGCAAACUCUCUUUUGUUCUGCUUUGUUGUGUCUUAUACAGAUGGGAUUACAGAAGGCUAGAUCUUGGAAACAUAUGAAAGAUUAAUACGUGAACGGGGACAUGGUUUGCUUACGAACGGACUAAAUAAUUAUUCUUUCACAGUGAGCGGUGGAAGAGCUCCAGAGAUGGAGAACCGGGAGCGCACUUUGACUGCAGAAUGAGUCGGUGAAGUCAGAGUCAGCCCCAGCCGAGAGUGACCUUGAUCUGGCAGACACCGCUGAGUCUAUAUCUGGAACUUAAGACUUUUUUAGGUCUGGGCUGCAACCGGAGCUGACUGUAAUGUAAGAUGAUCAGCGACAGGGUCACAUGAGGACUGUUAUCUCUUGAGUUCGUCCAAACAGGUUUCACACGGCCCUGCUGUUGCCCUGUUUUGCAUCCAGGCUCAGAGCCACCCGACACAGAGAGAGGAUUACAGGCAGUUCUAUGAUUAACUUACAAUUUGGAGAGAUAAAUUUGCAAUUUUCAGAAGAAAAGUCAGAAGCUAACACUUCAGAGGUGUUAUUUCACUUUCUGGGCUGUUUUGAAUGUGCAGUAAAAAAUGUGGAUAUUGCCAAAGACACAUUCCAGAAAACAAGGAUGUCUGGUCACCCGACUCAAAGUUCAUGUGGACUGUAUUUGUCGUGAGCAUAAACUCUAUGCUAACACAUCACCCUGACCCAGGUCACAGCAGUAGCAUUGAGGCCAGCUGGCACAUCUUAACAGGGGACUGA